AUUGAACGCUGGCGGCAGGCCUAACACAUGCAAGUCGAACGAGUGGCGGACGGGUGAGUAAUGUCUGGGAAACUGCCCGAUGGAGGGGGGUAACUACUGGAAACGGUAGCUAAUACCGCAUACCAUCGGAUGUGCCCAGAUGGGAUUAGCUAGUAGGUGGGGUAACGGCUCACCUAGGCGCCGAUCCCUAGCUGGGCUGAGAGGAUGACCAGCCACACUGUAACUGAGACACGGUCCAGACGCCGACGGUAGGCAGCAGGGGGGAAUAUUGCACAAUGGGCGAAAGCCUGAUGCAGCCAUGCCGCGUGUAUGAAGAAGGCCUUCGGGUUGUAAAGUACUUUAAGCGAGGAGGCGGUACUCGCAGAAGAAGCACCGGCUAACUCCGUGCCAGCAGCCGCGGUAAUUC
rnacentral:rRNA from 1 species